GAUGAACGCUGGCGGCGUGCCUAAUACAUGCAAGUCGAGCGAACGGACGAGAAGCUUGCUUCUCUGAUGUUAGCGGCGGACGGGUGAGUAACACGUGGAUAACCUACCUAUAAGACUGGGAUAACUUCGGGAAACCGGAGCUAAUACCGGAUAAUAUUUUGAACCGCAUGGUUCAAAAGUGAAAGACGGUCUUGCUGUCACUUAUAGAUGGAUCCGCGCUGCAUUAGCUAGUUGGUAAGGUAACGGCUUACCAAGGCAACGAUGCAUAGCCGACCUGAGAGGGUGAUCGGCCACACUGGAACUGAGACACGGUCCAGACUCCUACGGGAGGCAGCAGUAGGUAAUCUUCCGCAAUGGGCGAAAGCCUGACGGAGCAACGCCGCGUAAGUGAUGAAGGUCUUCGGAUCGUAAAACUCUGUUAUUAGGGAAGAACAUAUGUGUAAGUAACUGUGCACAUCUUGACGGUACCUAAUCAGAAAGCCACGGCUAACUACGUG
rnacentral:rRNA from 1 species